ensembl:lncRNA
AUCGUUACCGAGUGCCAAGGUUCUUUUUAAUCCUGUUUUAUGUUCUGGAUAUUUUACUUUCUAAUCUAAAAGGGAUUUUGUUUUUGUUGACAUUUAAAAUCUGAUUUUAAAAAUAACAACAAUUAGUCAAAAAAAAUAAAAUAAAACGUAAAGUCCUGAGUGAGUUAUAAGCAAAUUGUAGCUGAUAUUUUAAUAGUUUUAAAAUGGCACGUCCUUUAAGAUUGUGUGUGUGUGUGUGUGUGUGUGUGUGUGUGUGUGUGUGUGUGUGUGUGUGAAACCUCUUCUUUCUUUCAUUUGCUUCUUUGUUUUUAAAUAUCUUUAUAUUUUAUAUAUUCACUAGGUUGCUGUUAUACUGGGAAGUGAAGCAAUAAAGUGUGUGUGUGUGUGUGUGUGUGUGUGUGUGUGUGUGUGUGUGUGUGUGUCUGUGUGUAAUGACUUUAUUGCAGCAUUAGUGCUGUAUGAUGGACGGCGCGAGUGUUUUCAUCACCAUUCAGAAGGUGUACUACCCGCUGCUGUGCAUUCUGGGUAUUCCAGCGAACCUCUUCACAUUCUACAUGUUGUGUUGGCGUGUGUGUGGAAUGUCGGACUCGGCACGCGUGUACCUGAGCUGCUUGGCGGUGGUGGACACGUGGUACCUGCUCUGGGUGACGCUGCUGGACCUGAGCCUGGUGUUCCUGCAGCCGCAGCCGUUCUGGGACACUCACCCGUGGUGCGGCGUCAUAGACAUCUGCAGUUCGGA